AACGAACGCUGGCGGCAUGCCUAACACAUGCAAGUCGAACGAGACCUUCGGGUCUAGUGGCGCACGGGUGCGUAACGCGUUGGAACCUGCCCUUAGGUUCGGAAUAACUCCCCGAAUGGGGUGCUAAUACCGGAUAAUGUCUUCGGUCCAAAGAUUUAUCGCCUUUGGAUGGGCCCGCGUUGGAUUAGCUUGUUGGUAGGGUAAAUGCCUACCAAGGCUACGAUCCAUAGCUGGUUUGAGAGGAUGAUCAGCCACACUGGGACUGAGACACGGCCGAGAAUACUAGGGGAGGCGGGAGUGGGGAAUAUAGGAAAAUGGGCGAAAGCCUGAUCCAGCAAUGCCGCGUGAGUGAUGAAGGCCUUAGGGUUGUAAAGCUAGUUUACACGGGAUGAUAAUGACAGUACCGGGAGAAUAAGCUCCGGCUAACUCCGUG
rnacentral:rRNA from 1 species